GACGAACGCUGGCGGCGUGCCUAAUACAUGCAAGUAGAACGCUGAAGGAGGAGCUUGCUCUUCUGGAUGAGUUGCGAACGGGUGAGUAACGCGUAGGUAACCUGCCUGGUAUCGGGGGAUAACUAUUGGAAACGAUAGCUAAUACCGCAUAACAGUAGAUGUUGCAUGACAUUUACUUAAAAGUUGUAAUUGCAUCACUACCAGAUGGACCUGCGUUGUAUUAGCUAGUUGGUGGGGUAACGGCUCACCAAGGCGACGAUACAUAGCCGACCUGAGAGGGUGAUCGGCCACACUGGGACUGGGACACGGCCCAGAAUCCUACGGGAGGCAGCAGUAGGGAAUCUUCGGCAAUGGACGGAAGUCUGACCGAGCAAAGCCGCGUGAGUGAAGAAGGUUUUCGGAUCGUAAAGCUCUGUUGUAAGAGAAGAACGAGUGUGAGAGUGGAAAGUUCACACUGUGACGGUAUCUUAACAGAAAGGGACGGCUAACUACGUG
rnacentral:rRNA from 1 species